UACGGAGGGUGCAAGCGUUGUCCGGAAUCAUUGGGCGUAAAGAGCGUGUAGGCGGCUCGGUAAGUCCGCUGUGAAAGUCCAGGGCUCAACCCUGGAAUGCCGGUGGAAACUGUCGAGCUAGAGUCCGGAAGAGGCGAGUGGAAUUCCUGGUGUAGCGGUGAAAUGCGCAGAUAUCAGGAGGAACACCAAUGGCGAAGGCAGCUCGCUGGGACGGUACUGACGCUGAGACGCGAAAGCGUGGGGAGCAAACAGG
rnacentral:rRNA from 1 species